rnacentral:tRNA from 1 species
UGCAUCGGCCGGGAAUUGAACCCAGGCCGCCCGCGUGGCAGGCGAGCAUUCUACCACUGAACCACCGAUUC